rnacentral:rRNA from 1 species
GUGGGGAAUCUUGCGCAAUGGGCGAAAGCCUGACGCAGCCAUGCCGCGUGAAUGAUGAAGGUCUUAGGAUUGUAAAAUUCUUUCACCGGGGACGAUAAUGACGGUACCCGGAGAAGAAGCUCCGGCUAACUUCGUGCCAGCAGCCGCGGUAAUACGAAGGGGGCUAGCGUUGCUCGGAAUUACUGGGCGUAAAGGGCGCGUAGGCGGACAGCUUAGUCAGAGGUGAAAGCCCAGGGCUCAACCUUGGAAUUGCCUUUGAUACUGGCUGUCUGGGGUACGGGAGAGGUGAGAGGAACUCCGAGUGUAGAGGUGAAAUUCGUAGAUAUUCGGAAGAACACCAGUGACGAAGGCGACUCACUGGCCCGUUACUGACGCUGAGGCGCGAAAGCGUGGGGAGCAAACAGGAUUAGAUACCCUGGUAGUCA